UACGUAGGGUGCGAGCGUUAAUCGGAAUUACUGGGCGUAAAGCGUGCGCAGGCGGUUUUGUAAGCCAGAUGUGAAAGCCCCGGGCUUAACCUGGGAAUGGCAUUUGGGACUGCAAGGCUUGAGUGCGGCAGAGGAGACUGGAAUUCCUGGUGUAGCAGUGAAAUGCGUAGAUAUCAGGAGGAAUACCGAUGGCGAAGGCAGGUCUCUGGGCUGACACUGACGCUCAGGCACGAAAGCGUGGGGAGCAAACAGG
rnacentral:rRNA from 1 species